UUGGGACAGAGAGUACAGAGCAGCGGGAAAGCGUUCCCAGUGCAAUGUACCCUGUGUCCUGAUACCUAGAUAGUGGCGGACGGGUGAGUAACACGUGAGCAACCUGCCGAAGAGUGGGGGAUAACGUUUGGAAACGAACGCUAAUACCGCAUAACGUAUACGAAUGGCAUCAUUUGUAUACCAAAGGAGUAAUCCGCUUUUUGAUGGGCUCGCGCCCGAUUAGAUAGUUGGUGAGGUAAUGGCUCACCAAGUCAGCGAUCGGUAGCCGGACUGAGAGGUUGAACGGCCACAUUGGGACUGAGACACGGCCCAGACUCCUACGGGAGGCAGCAGUGGGGAAUAUUGCACAAUGGGGGAAACCCUGAUGCAGCGACGCCGCGUGAGUGAAGACGGUCUUCGGAUUGUAAAGCUCUGUUGCAGAGGACGAUAAUGACGGUACUCUGUGAGGAAGCCACGGCUAACUACGUGCCAGCAGCCGCGGUAAUACGUAGGUGGCAAGCGUUGUCCGGAAUUACUGGGUGUAAAGGGAGCGUAGGCGGGAAGCCAAGUUGGAUGUGAAAUGCCGCA
rnacentral:rRNA from 1 species